AAGUCAUUACCAAGGCUUUUAGAAUGAAGUUUCUCAUUUGCUGUGGACAUGACCAUAAAAACAUUCCCACUAGGUUUUCUGUCUGCUACCUUGUUAGCUGUCAACCUGCUGGGAACAUUA
ensembl:snoRNA